UUACGCCUACGGGGCGCAGCAGUGGGGAAUAUUGCACAAUGGGGGAAACCCUGAUGCAGCGACGCCGCGUGAGUGAAGAAGUAUUUCGGUACGUAAAGCUCUAUCAGCAGGGAAGAAAAAAAGUCCUUUGGACUUUGGACGGUACCUGACCAAGAAGCCCCGGCUAACUACGUGCCAGCAGCCGCGGUAAUACGUAGGGGGCAAGCGUUAUCCGGAUUUACUGGGUGUAAAGGGAGCGUAGACGGCAGCGCAAGUCUGGCGGGAAAUGCCGGGGCCCAAACCCGGAACUGCGUUGGAAAAUGUGG
rnacentral:rRNA from 1 species